rnacentral:rRNA from 1 species
UCGGGAAUUUUGGGCAAUGGGGGAAACCCUGAUCCAGCCAUUCCGCGUGAGUGAAGAAGGCCUUCGGGUUGUAAAGCUCUUUCGGCAGGAACGAAACGGUUACGGAUAAUACCCGUGACUACUGACGGUACCUGAAGAAGAAGCACCGGCUAACUACGUGCCAGCAGCCGCGGUAAUACGUAGGGUGCGAGCGUUAAUCGGAUUUACUGGGCGUAAAGGGCGCGUAGGCGGUCGAGUAAGUCGGAUGUGAAAUCCCCGGGCUUAACCUGGGAAUUGCAUUCGAUACUGCUUGGCUAGAGUGUGGAAGAGGGAAGCGGAAUUUCCGGUGUAGCGGUGAAAUGCGUAGAUAUCGGAAGGAACACCAGUGGCGAAGGCGGCUUCCUGGUCCAACACUGACGCUGAGGCACGAAAGCGUGGGGAGCAAACAGGAUUAGAUACCCUUGUAGUCCCUGAGCGGGCUGGCAAGGCGCAU